rnacentral:rRNA from 1 species
UGCAUGUCUAAGUACAUGCCGUAUUAAGGCGAAACCGCGAAUGGCUCAUUAAAUCAGUUAUGGUUCCUUGGAUCGUACCUUACUACUUGGAUAACUGUGGCAAUUCUAGAGCUAAUACAUGCAGCAGAGCUCCGACCCUCAGGGGACGAGCGCUUUUAUUAGACCAAAACCAAUCGGACCUCGUGUCCGUCUCUUGUGGUGACUCUGUAUAACUUUGGGCUGAUCGCACGGGCCCGUCCCGGCGACGUAUCUUUCAAGUGUCUGCCUUAUCAACUUUCGAUGGUAGGUUACGCGCCUACCAUGGUCGUAACGGGUAACGGGGAAUCAGGGUUCGAUUCCGGAGAGGGAGCCUGAGAAACGGCUACCACAUCCAAGGAAGGCAGCAGGCGCGCAAAUUACCCACUCCCAGAACGGGGAGGUAGUGACGAAAAAUAACAAUACGGGACUCUUUUGAGACCCCGUAAUUGGAAUGAGUACACUUUAAAUCCUUUAACGAGGAUCCAUUAGAGGGCAAGUCUGGUGCCAGCAGCCGCGGUAAUUCCAGCUCUAAUAGCGUAUAUUAAAGUUGUUGCGGUUAAAAAGCUCGUAGUUGGAUCUCAGUUCCAGACGGGUGGUCCUCCUUACGGUGGCUACUGCCUGUUCUGAACAGCCAGCCGGUUUCUCUUGAUGAUCUUCACCGGUUGUCUUGGGUGACCGGCAAGUUUACUUUGAAAAAAUUAGAGUGCUCAAAGCAGGCGUGACGCCUGAAUAAUGGUGCAUGGAAUAAUGGAAUAGGACCUCGGUUCUAUUUUGUUGGUUUUCGGAACACGAGGUAAUGAUUANNAGGGACAGACGGNGGCAUUCGUAUUGCGACGCUAGAGGUGAAANUCUUGNANCGUCG